rnacentral:rRNA from 1 species
UACAGGGGGUGCAAACGUUGCUCGGAAUCAUUGGGCGUAAAGCGCACGUAGGCGGUUCGUUAUGUCGGAUGUGAAAGCCCUUGGCUUAACCGGGGAACUGCGUCUGAUACUGGAUGGCUUGAGUGUGGGAGAGGGAUGCGGAAUUCCAGGUGUAGCGGUGAAAUGCGUAGAUAUCUGGAGGAACACCGGUGGCGAAGGCGGCAUCCUGGACAACUUCUGACGCUGAGGCACGAAAGCUAGGGGAGCAAACAGG